rnacentral:rRNA from 1 species
AAAUUAAUAAAAACGGCCUAAAGCGUGAUUAAAUUAUAUUAAAAUAAAUAGAAAUAAAAAUUAACUCGACUGUUAUACGUAUAUGUUAAACGGUAAACCAGAAACGAAAGAUAUUCUAACAAAUAAACUACUUGAACCCACGAAAGCUAAGAAACAAACUAGGAUUAGAUACCCUACUAUGCUUAGCCCUAAACUUUGGAACAACCCGCCUGAGUACUACGAGCCACAGCUUAAAACUCAAAGGACUUGGCGGUGCUCUACACCCCCCUAGAGGAGCCUGUUCUAUAAUUGAUACUCCCCGUUAAACCUCACCACUUAUUGCCAAUACCGCUUAUAUACCGCCGUCGUCAGCUCACCAUUUAAAUGAAAAAUAGCAGGCAUAAUGAUAAACAUAAAAACGUCAGGUCAAGGUGUAGCGAAUUAAGUGGAAAGAAAUGGGCUACAUUUUCUAAACUAGAAAAUACGAAAAAUUUUAUGAAAAACUAUUUAAAGGUGGAUUUAGCAGUAAAAAGAAAAUAGAGUGUUCUUUUUAAAUAGGCCAUAGAGCGCGCACACACCGCCCGUCACCCUCCUCAGAAAAACC